rnacentral:rRNA from 1 species
GGAUGAACGCUGGCGGCGUGCCUAAUACAUGCAAGUCGAACGCUGAAGGAGGAGCUUGCUCUUCUGGAUGAGUUGCGAACGGGUGAGUAACGCGUAGGUAACCUGCCUGGUAGCGGGGGAUAACUAUUGGAAACGAUAGCUAAUACCGCAUGACAACAGUUAUUGCAUGAUAACUGUUUAAAAGGGGCAACUGCUCCACUACCAGAUGGACCUGCGUUGUAUUAGCUAGUUGGUGAGGUAACGGCUCACCAAGGCGACGAUACAUAGCCGACCUGAGAGGGUGAUCGGCCACACUGGGACUGAGACACGGCCCAGACUCCUACGGGAGGCAGCAGUAGGGAAUCUUCGGCAAUAGACGGAAGUCUGACCGAGCAACGCCGCGUGAGUGAAGAAGGUUUUCGGAUCGUAAAGCUCGGUUGUAAGAGAAGAACGAGUGUGAGAGUGGAAAGUUCACACUGUGACGGUAUCUUACCAGAAAGGGACGGCUAACUACGUG